CCGGAGCCUUAUGAGAAGCUAAAGGAAUUAACCAGAGGAAAAACAGUUACUAAGGAAAGUAUAAGGAGAUUUAUUAAAGGAUUGGAGUUACCUAAUGAAGCUAAGACAAAUCUGUUGAAUCUAACACCUCAUAGCUAUGUUGGAGCAGCGGUUGAAUUGGCCAGGGAUGUAGACAUAGCCUUGAAUCUUGUGAACAGAGGAGAGCUCUUCUAAAUUCCAAGGGGGGCAUUGAUUUCACUAGG
rnacentral:misc_RNA from 1 species